GGUCAGAUUGAGACCAGUGUUAUAGAGAGUCUGCUCCGAUAGCAAUUACUUCAGAGGAGGGAUUUUAUAUCCCAUCAAAAUCUUGGAGUGCUCUAAGUCUUCUCCCCCUAACUUUGGGAUCUAAAAAGUAGAAUCCUUGACCAACCCAAGUAUGGAAGCCUUCAAUCCUCAAUGAAAGGAUCCAAAACAAAUAAAAAUCAUCCUUUCCAUUGAUGGACCGAAGAAGGAGCUCUCCUUAUCAAAGUAGGAACCCUCUUGGAGGAGAGAUAUACCACCAAUCUUUAGUAUGCCUUUUAUUGGUGAAGA
rnacentral:lncRNA from 1 species